rnacentral:rRNA from 1 species
UACGUAGGGUGCUAGCGUUGUCCGGAUUUAUUGGGCGUAAAGGGCUCGUAGGCGGCGUGUCGCGUCGGGAGUGAAAGCCCGCUGCUUAACGGCGGGUUGGCUUCCGGUACGGGCAUCGCUGGAGUGCGGCAGGGGAGACUGGAAUUCCCGGUGUAGUGGUGGAAUGCGUAGAUAUCGGGAGGAACACCAGUGGCGAAGGCGGUUGCCUGGAGCUUUGCUGACGCUGAGGCGCGAAAGCGUGGGGAGCGAUCCGG